UGGUGGACAAUGCCGUGACCACUGUGCAGUCCGCAUCCUGGAGAUCAGGUGAGGGGUGUGUUCUGAGAACCGACUGAGACUG